rnacentral:rRNA from 1 species
GACAGAGGUGCCAAGCGUUAUGCGGAAUUACUGGGCGUAAAGCGUGCGCAGGCGGCUUCUUAGGCGUGACGUGAAAGCCCCGGGCUCAACCCGGGAGGGUCGUCGUGAACCGGGGGGCUUGAGGCCGGUAGAGGUGGGUGGAACUCCUGGUGGAGUGGUGAAAUGCGUAGAGAUCAGGAAGAACACCCGUGGCGAAGGCGGCCCACUGGGCCGGUACUGACGCUGAGGCACGAAGGCGUGGGGAGCGAACAGG